CCGCACCGGCCCGAGGCCCGUUCCCCUUCCACUCUCUCCCUCCUCCGCUCUGUCUGUGGGCGGAGACUCGCAUCGUCCCCGAGCUCCUGCUACUCAUGGCGGAUGUAGCACCUCUUCGUGCGCGUCGUCGUCGCCGCCGCCAACAGCUUGGCCGCCGCCGCCGUCGUCGUCGCUGGGUCCUCCUUUUUCUCCACCUAGGUCAGUUAGCCUCCCUGCUCCCGUCAUUCCCUCGGAGCGGCAACGGCGGAGCAGCGAGGAAGCCCUAGGCACCGCCAAUAGCAUAGCCGUCGCCAACAGCCCUGCCGCCGCGGCCUAGGCAGCACCACGGCGUUCCGCCGACGCAGCCUUACACCACCGCGUCCCGCUGCGGCCGCCUCGCACCAUCGCUUUCUGCCGCGGCCUCGCACCAUUGCGUCACGCGACACCCAGAUGCAUUAGAAGCCAUUAAUUCUGGAUUCGAAAAAUCAUCCAAGUCAUGAUGGAGUAUUGGCAGCUUCUGGAGCUUAUUCUGCAAGAUUACUUUGUAGAAAAGUUUCCUCUCAUAUCAAGUGGUUUUUAAGUAGUAAGAGGAGGUUACAGAUCUUAAAAUGAUGAUACUAUUAGUUGGAAUUUGACUCUGCAUGCACCGGCUAGAAUGGAAUAGGAUUAGCAAAUGAAGUAACUGCUCUCCUUGUUUGAUCAAGGCCACGAGAGAUAUUUUCACGAGGAUAUCUUUCAUAUUCAACCAUUGUGCAAGUCCUGUCUUGCUUAAUGGACAUGAGGAUGUCUUGAUUGCUGGCUGUAUGGAAGCACAUCCACACAUGUAACUCAGUCAUGUGGGAUACAUAUAUAUUGUGUCGGAAUCUGAUAACUGUGUGCGUGUUGAUGGAUUUUCUUAGUAGAUGCAUUAGAAGCCAUUAAUUCUGGAUUCGAAAAAUCAUCCAAGUCAUGAUGGAGUAUUGGCAACUUCUGGAGCUUAUUCUGCAAGAUUACUUUGUAGAAAAGUUUCCUCUCAUAUCAAGUGGUUUUUAAGUAGGUAAACUGAGAUUCCAUUAUUCUGUAUUUGACUGCGCAAGUGCUUUAUAGAAGAUUAGAAAUUUCUGUGGUUGACUUCUACUUCUCUACAAGAUGACUUGCUUUUCUGUUUUUCUUUGUUGAACAUGUUUCCUGAUGGACUUUGGUAAACCAAUAAUGUUUGCUGAACCUGUUUGUGUAACUGUGUUAUAUGCCUUGAGUCACAUGUUCCCUAAUUGAUUUAGUGGAUGUUUACCCAUAUUUCUUCAGCUUUCCUUCGAAAUAAGCACUAACAAGUAAGCAACAGAAAGGACUACUAACUGAGUUUACCAAGUUUCCUACUCUAUCUGUGAUAUGUUACGACGCAAGCUUAAAUGUGCAAUGCUAGGGUUAUCCGUUUAGAUCUUAUAAAUUUUACAUUCUGCUGUGAGCAAUGCUUGUCAAAUACUUUCUCUUGUUCAUAUUCUUAUGUGAGCAUGCCUCUCGGUGCCGGCUGGCUGCUAUGGCCAUGUGGGUGGCAUGGUCAUUGGUGUUUGCCGUAGCAUGGCGUUGGUGUUGCAGCUGCUUUGGCAUCUGGCGGUACCCUGGUUCAGCGAAGAUGUUUGAGCGUUGGGGUGCAUAACUUGUCCAAUUUUUUCUAGGCCGACAGGAGCAGUGUCGGCGGGCGUCAUUACCUUCUUGAAGGCUCCAUGGCAGUCACUCUUUGUCCUUCUUGUCGCUCUGGGUGAAAAACUGAUCCCCGGAUUGGGCGUGGCGUAUCCUUGUAGGCACCGCUUUUGAGUAUAUGUUUCAUCGAUGUCCAGCUUCACAUCUUCGUGGUGCAUAGCUCAUGAUGAAGGGCUCAGUCGACUCCAGCAGUUCUUUUUGGUCCAUUUGUAGUGUGCUUGGUGGCAGGGGUGUUGCUAUUCCUCGGCACCCUUGCAUCUUACCUUGGAUGUGUGUUGUGUAUUGUGUGUGGUGGCGGCGUGUUGUAUGCGGUUGCGUGUAUGUUGGCCGUUGCUUUAUAUAUAAAGUGGGGUGAGAGUGUUUUUUAGUUAAUUCAUUUGUUGGCCCGUGGCAAUGCACGGGCACUCUACUAGUCAUCUGUAAUUUCCAAUUGUUGCAGAGCAUAUUAAAAAAGAA